rnacentral:rRNA from 1 species
CUUAUGCCGGCGACCGGCGGACGGGUGCGUAACGCGUAUGUAACCUACCUUUGACAGGGGGAUAACAUCGAGAAAUUGGUACUAAUACCCCAUAACAUCACCGGAAGCAUCUUCGGUGGUUGAAAACUCAGGUGGUCAGAGAUGGACAUGCGUUGUAUUAGCUAGUUGGUGAGGUAACGGCUCACCAAGGCGACGAUACAUAGGGGGACUGAGAGGUCAACCCCCCACAUUGGUACUGAGACACGGACCAAACUCCUACGGGAGGCAGCAG